rnacentral:ncRNA from 1 species
UGAUAGAGGCGCGGGAGUCAUCAGUACCGGGAAGGCUGAAGCUUGGAAGGCUGCCUUCCGGGGAAAGGGGCGUCCGCCGAAGGGAGAGAAGAGUUUCCGGCUUUUGUCCCUGGGCCGCAGGCAGAAUAUGCCCCGGACUGUCACAUUCGUGGAGCGCUAUCA